UCUGAGACUAGAGUCACAUCCUGACACAGCUCUUGUCCAAUGUACUGAAGUCCUCAGAAUCUGUUGGUCUUGAUCACUGAUGGGGCAACCAGUGUCCCCAUUAGUGCCCGGUCAGAAACAUAC
ensembl:snoRNA